GGCUGCUCUGUUCUCAGGACUCUUCCCUCUCUGACAAAGAGGGCACAGGCACAGGGGGUGAGGAGUGGAGUGGAGUGGAUUGCCUGGGAUUGAAUUCUGUCUGAUUAUGGCCAGUUCCUUCACCUUUUUGCCUCAGCAUCUGCAUCUAUAAAAUGAAGGU
rnacentral:lncRNA from 1 species